rnacentral:rRNA from 1 species
CCUACGGGAGGCAGCAGUGGGGAAUUUUGGACAAUGGGGGCAACCCUGAUCCAGCCAUUCCGCGUGAGUGAAGAAGGCCUUCGGGUUGUAAAGCUCUUUUGUCGGGGACGAAACGGUUACGAUUAAUACUCGUGACAACUGACGGUACCCGAAGAAUAAGCACCGGCUAACUACGUGCCAGCAGCCGCGGUAAUACGUAGGGUGCGAGCGUUAAUCGGAAUUACUGGGCGUAAAGCGUGCGCAGGCGGUUUUGUAAGCCAGAUGUGAAAUCCCCGGGCUUAACCUGGGAAUGGCAUUUGGGACUGCAAGGCUAGAGUAUGGCAGAGGAGACUAGAAUUCCUGGUGUAGCAGUGAAAUGCGUAGAUAUCAGGAGGAAUACCGAUGGCGAAGGCAGGUCUCUGGGUCAAUACUGACGCUCAUGCACGAAAGCGUGGGGAGCAAACAGGAUUAGAUACCCUGGUAGUCCACGCCCUAAACGAUGUCAACUGGUUGUUGGGAGAUUUAUUCUCUUAGUAACGAAGCUAACGCGUGAAGUUGACCGCCUGGGGAGUACGGUCGCAAGNUUAAAACUUAAGGAAUUGACGG